CCCUUAGAUGUUCUGGGCCGCACGCGCGCUACACUGAUGCAUUCAACGAGUUUAUAACCUUGACUGAGAAGUCUGGGUAAUCUUUUGAAAGUGCAUCGUGAUUGGGAUAGAUUAUUGCAAUUUUUAAUCUUGAACGAGGAAUUCCUAGUAAGCGCGAGUCAUCAGCUCGCACUGAUUACGUCCCUGCCCUUUGUACACACCGCCCGUCGCACCUACCGAUUGAAUGAUUCGGUGAAAAUUUCGGACUGUGCCGCUGUGCCCUUCACUGGGCGUAGUGAUAUGGGAAGUUAUUUAAACCUCAUCAUUUAGAGGAAGGUGAAGUCGUAACA
rnacentral:rRNA from 1 species